UAAUCGAAUGUUGCAUAUUUUUUAAAAGAAGAGCCUCAUAGUCAUAGGUACUAUUUGAAAAAAGUUUCACUCAAAAAUUUCAAACCAUGAAGGUUCUAUGUCAAUUCGAAGCACCUAUUACAAUAAAACGGCAAUAUCAAACUUUAACCCCUAUUAUUAUAAGAAAAUAAAGCUUUUGUUGGUUUGAUUUGUAUUACACGAUGUUAUUCCUUCAUCGUGGAUGCUUUCGUCAACACCUGUGAAGUAAUUAUUAUGUUACCAAAAAUAAAAUGCCUACGCAAUUCAGACAGUCGCAUCCAUCUAGAUAUAGGUAGAUAUACCGGACGUCUUAUCCAGUAGGCUACGACGACUUUAAAAUAUAAAGAUUAUUAUCUUUUGGACACUUUUAAAUUGCAGAGCUGAUUUAACAGGAUCACAGACGAAAAUAUUAUUAUAAAUUUAUAAAGCAACGUAGACUCUGAUACCAUGCAUUGCCCGGAUAUUAAAUACAUACAUUACGUACAUUGCCUAUGAAAUUAAGCUCAACUUGUUCUGUAACGCCAUUAAAAGGAAAUUAAAAUACUUAAAAAAAUUAAAA